rnacentral:rRNA from 1 species
UACGAAGGGGGCUAGCGUUGCUCGGAAUCACUGGGCGUAAAGGGUGCGUAGGCGGUUUGGUAAGUCUGAUGUGAAAUCUAAUGGGCUCAACUCAUAGUCUGCAUCGGAAACUGCCGGGCUUGAGUGUGGGAGAGGGUGGAGUGGAAUUCCGUGGUGUAGCGGUGAAAUGCGUAGAUAUCAGGAGGAACACCUGUGGCGAAAGCGGCUCACUGGACCAUAACUGACGCUGAUGCACGAAAGCUAGGGGGAGCAAACAGG